GAUGAAGAACGUAGCAAAAUGCGAUAAGUAAUGUGAAUUGCAGAAUUCAGUGAAUCAUCGAAUCUUUGAACGCACAUUGCGCCCGCUGUUAUUCCGGCGGGCAUGCCUGUUCGAGCGUCAUUUCAACCCUCAAGCCCCCGGGUUUGGUGUUGGGGAUCGGCUCUGCCCUUCUGGGCGGUGCCGCCCCCGAAAUACAUUGGCGGUCUCGCUGCAGCCUCCAUUGCGUAGUAGCUAACACCUCGCAACUGGAACGCGGCGCGGCCAUGCCGUAAAACCCCAACUUCUGAAUGUUGACCUCGGAUCAGGUAGGAAUACCCGCUGAACUUAAGCAUAUCAAUAAGCGGAGGA
rnacentral:misc_RNA from 1 species